rnacentral:rRNA from 1 species
GCUUCCUUCGGGAAGUGGAUUAGCGGCGGACGGGUGAGUAACACGUGGGUAACCUGCCUCAAAGUGGGGGAUAGCCUUCCGAAAGGAAGAUUAAUACCGCAUAACAUAAGAGAAUCGCAUGAUUUUUUUAUCAAAGAUUUAUUGCUUUGAGAUGGACCCGCGGCGCAUUAGCUAGUUGGUAAGGUAACGGCUUACCAAGGCAACGAUGCGUAGCCGACCUGAGAGGGUGAUCGGCCACAUUGGAACUGAGACACGGUCCAGACUCCUACGGGAGGCAGCAGUGGGGAAUAUUGCGCAAUGGGGGAAACCCUGACGCAGCAACGCCGCGUGGGUGAUGAAGGUCUUCGGAUUGUAAAGCCCUGUUUUCUGGGACGAUAAUGACGGUACCAGAGGAGGAAGCCACGGCUAACUACGUGCCAGCAGCCGCGGUAAUACGUAGGUGGCGAGCGUUGUCCGGAUUUACUGGGCGUAAAGGGUGCGUAGGCGGAUGUUUAAGUGGGAUGUGAAAUCCCCGGGCUUAACCUGGGGGCUGCAUUCCAAACUGGAUAUCUAGAGUGCAGGAGAGGAAAGCGGAAUUCCUAGUGUAGCGGUGAAAUGCGUAGAGAUUAGGAAGAACACCAGUGGCGAAGGCGGCUUUCUGGACUGUAACUGACGCUGAGGCACGAAAGCGUGGGUAGCAAACAGGAUUAGAUACCCUGGUAGUCCACGCCGUAAACGAUGGAUACUAGGUGUAGGGGGUAUCAACUCCCCCUGUGCCGCAGUUAACACAAUAAGUAU